ACUGUAGCGGCAGAGGAGGACAUUAUCGAGUUUUGAACGGGUUGUAGCUGGCCUCUCACGAGGCAUGUGCACGCCUGGCUCAUCCACUCUUAACCUCUGUGCACUUUAUGUAAGAGAAAAAAAUGGUGGAAGCUUCCAGGAUCUCGCGAGAGGUCUUCGGUUGAACAAGCCGUUUUUCUUUCUUAUGUUUUACUACAAACGCUUCAGUUAUAGAAUGUCAACUGUGUAUAACACAUUUAUAUACAACUUUCAGCAACGGAUCUCUUGGCUCUCGCAUCGAUGAAGAACGCAGCGAAAUGCGAUAAGUAAUGUGAAUUGCAGAAUUCAGUGAAUCAUCGAAUCUUUGAACGCACCUUGCACUCCUUGGUAUUCCGAGGAGUAUGCCUGUUUGAGUCUCAUGGUAUUCUCAACCCCUAAAUUUUUGUAAUGAAGGUUUAGUGGGCUUGGACUUGGAGGUUGUGUCGGCCCUUGUCGGUCGACUCCUCUGAAAUGCAUUAGCGUGAAUCUUACGGAUCGCCUUCAGUGUGAUAAUUAUCUGCGCUGUGGUGUUGAAGUAUUUAUGGUGUGCAUGCGUCUAACGAUCUCCUUGCCGAGACACUCAUUUGACAAUCUGAGCUCACAUCCGGUAGGACUACCCCGCUGAACUUAAGCAUAUCAUUAACUCCCCAAGAA
rnacentral:rRNA from 1 species